rnacentral:rRNA from 1 species
UGCGCAGGCGGUUUCGCAAGUCAGAUGUGAAAGCCCCGGGCUUAACCUGGGAACUGCGUUUGAAACUACGAAGCUAGAGUACGGCAGAGGGAGGUGGAAUUCCAAGUGUAGCAGUGAAAUGCGUAGAUAUUUGGAGGAACACCGAUGGCGAAGGCAGCCUCCUGGGCUAGUACUGACGCUCAUGCACGAAAGCGUGGGGAGCAAACAGGAUUAGAUACCCUGGUAGUCCACGCCCUAAACGAUGGCAACUAGUUGUUGGGGAUUAACAUCCUUAGUAACGCAGCUAACGCGUGAAGUUGCCCGCCUGGGGAGUACGGUCGCAAGAUUAAA